rnacentral:tmRNA from 1 species
GGGGCUGACUAUAGCUUUCGACGGAAGGAUUUUAACAGAUUAUUUUGCAAGUCGACCGUAGGCGUAACCUACACAUUUUAAUUGCAAACAAACUUGCAUCAGUAAAAGAAUUCUUCGGUUCGAUCGCUAACGCUUUCAAGCCAGUUUCUUUUGCGCCAGCUUUAGUUUAAAACCUUUAGCCGUCAUAUUGUUCAGGUAACAUAGAGCGAUGUGGCGUUAUAUACAUGUUACUUACCGGUGUUGAGGGCAGCAACGCAACAACGGAAAAUUUUAUUGCGCGACAAUCGAAACACGUUGUGUUUGACUUUUAGUUUCAAGAGUCGUUAAAACCUAAGUCGAACUAUACUUGUAGACAAAUAAUCAGUUACCUUUCGGACCGGGGUGCGAUUCCCCGCAGCUCCACCA